UUGCAGGAAUAUGUCGAGGACUGAUGGGU
rnacentral:piRNA from 1 species